rnacentral:rRNA from 1 species
AACUACUGGAAACGGUGGCUAAUACCGCAUAACGUCGCAAGACCAAAGAGGGGGACCUUCGGGCCUCUUGCCAUCAGAUGUGCCCAGAUGGGAUUAGCUUGUUGGUGAGGUAACGGCUCACCAAGGCGACGAUCCCUAGCUGGUCUGAGAGGAUGACCAGCCACACUGGAACUGAGACACGGUCCAGACUCCUACGGGAGGCAGCAGUGGGGAAUAUUGCACAAUGGGCGCAAGCCUGAUGCAGCCAUGCCGCGUGUAUGAAGAAGGCCUUCGGGUUGUAAAGUACUUUCAGCGGGGAGGAAGGUGUUGUGGUUAAUAACCGCAGCAAUUGACGUUACCCGCAGAAGAAGCACCGGCUAACUCCGUGCCAGCAGCCGCGGUAAUACGGAGGGUGCAAGCGUUAAUCGGAAUUACUGGGCGUAAAGCGCACGCAGGCGGUCUGUCAAGUCGGAUGUGAAAUCCCCGGGCUCAACCUGGGAACUGCAUUCGAAACUGGCAGGCUUGAGUCUUGUAGAGGGGGGUAGAAUUCCAGGUGUAGCGGUGAAAUGCGUAGAGAUCUGGAGGAAUACCGGUGGCGAAGGCGGCCCCCUGGACAAAGACUGACGCUCAGGUGCGAAAGCGUGGGGAGCAAACAGGAUUAGAUACCCUGGUAGUCCACGCCGUAAACGAUGUCUACUUGGAGGUUGUGCCCUUGAGGCGUGGCUUCCGGAGCUAACGCGUUAAGUAGACCGCCUGGGGAGUACGGCCGCAAGGUUAAAACUCAAAUGAAUUGACGGGGGCCCGCACAAGCGGUGGAGCAUGUGGUUUAAUUCGAUGCAACGCGAAGAACCUUACCUGGUCUUGACAUCCACAGAACUUUCCAGAGAUGGAUUGGUGCCUUCGGGAACUGUGAGACAGGUGCUGCAUGGCUGUCGUCAGCUCGUGUUGUGAAAUGUUGGGUUAAGUCCCGCAACGAGCGCAACCC